rnacentral:rRNA from 1 species
AGCGAACGCUGGCGGCAGGCCUAACACAUGCAAGUCGAACGAAGCCUUCGGGCUUAGUGGCGGACGGGGGAGUAACACGUGGGAACGUACCUUUUGGUUCGGAAUAACGCAGAGAAAUUUGCGCUAAUACCGAAUGAGCCCUUAGGGGGAAAGAUUUAUCGCCGAAAGAUCGGCCCGCUUUGGCUUAGGUAGUUGGUGUGGUAAAGGCGCACCAAGCCGACGAUCCAUAUCUGGUCUGAGAGGAUGAUAAGCCACACUGGGACUGAGACACGGCCCAGGCUCCUGCGGGAGGCAGCAGUGGGGAAUCUUGAGCAAUGGGCGAAAGCCUGACGCAGCCAUGCCGCGUGAAUGAUGAAGGUCUUAGGAUUGUAAAAUUCUUUUACCAGGGACGAUAAUGACGGUACCUGGAGAAAAAGCCCCGGCUAACUUCGUGCCAGCAGCCGCAGUAAAAC